GGUGUGCUUAGGAAAGUAUGAAGUGUUUAGUAAAUUGUGUUACAUUAAUAUAGAUGCUAAUAACUAGAAGAUUAAGUUCUAUGUAUCUAGUAUGAAGUGUCUACUAUAUAAACCCCUAUGGUAUAUGUGUUCAUGUAGAGAGAAGAAAAGAAUAAGAAAGAGACGUGUAGAGAAAGUAAUAGACAUAUCAAGUAUUCUCUCUCCCUGUAAUUCCUUUGUUUAUCCUGUUUAUCUUGUUUAUGUGUUAAUCCUCUCCGAACAAAGUAGUACAAAGUAGCAUCAAUCCAAUACGCUUCCAGCUAGUAUCAAAGUUGCAUCCAACAAUUGGCACACACAGAUGAACAAAAAGAGAACAUUGGAGGAACUUGCCAUAUUUCACCACAAAAAGAAGCAGCAGCUUUCCUUAUGUCCACAUCUUUGAUGUGCUCCCAAGGCUCACGCUGGAUAACCUAAAAAGGGCAGUUUACAAAUAAAGAUUUGGAUGAUGCAUAGAAGUAGAUUCAAGAUACAACAUCAAAUUCAAAUUUCUAUGGUGUCCAACAAGCAACAAGAUGAUGUUAAUGAAGAUCUAGUGCAAAAAGUUUGAACUAACAUGUAGUGCUAUUCACAUUCCACAAACCUUUCAAUUUUAUGCAGUGACUAUAUCGCCGUUGUAUUAAUGGAUCAAAGAUUUUAAAACA